ACUUGAGGUCACAUUUUAGACUAAAACGCGAGGAGGGUUUACUUCUGAGGUAAAAUGUAAUACGAAAAACGUGAUGGGAAUGUACUUUUUCUGAGGUAAAAUCUGGUACUGAGCACGUGACGGAUGGUACUUCUGAGGUAACUUUUGAUACUAAAAACGUCACGGAUUGUACUUGAGGUCACAUUUUGGACUAAAACGUGAGGAGUGUUUACAUCUGAGGUAAAAUGUAAUACGAAAAACGUGAUGGGAAUGUACUUUUUCCGAGGUAAAAUCUGGUACUGAGCACGUGACGGAUGGUACUUCUGAGGUAACUUUUGAUACUAAAAACGUCACGGAUUGUACUUGAGGUCACAUUUUGGACUAAAACGUGAGGAGUGUUUACAUCUGAGGUAAAAUGUAAUACGAAAAACGUGAUGGGAAUGUACUUUCUGAGGUAAAAUCUGGUACUGAGCACGUGACGGAUGGUACUUCUGAGGUAACUUUUGAUACUAAAAACGUCACGGAUUGUACUUGAGGUCACAUUUUGGACUAAAACGUGAGGAGGGUUUACUUCUGAGGUAAAAUGUAAUACGAAAAACGUGAUGGGAAUGUACUUUUUCCGAGGUAAAAUCUGGUACUGAGCACGUGACCGAUGGUACUUCUGAGGUAAAAUGUAGUAACUCCAAUGUGUAACUGCACUUCUGAGUUAACAUUGGACAUAACACGUGAGAAUUUACUUCUGAGGUAAUUAGUUGGACUGAAACGUGAGGAGAGUACUUCUGAGGUAAAACUUAGUAACUAAAAUGCGAGACUACUUAAGUAAUAUUUCGUAGAGUACUAAAACGUGAGGAGAGUAAUUCUGAGGUAAAAUUUAGUACGAAAAACGUGAGCAGAAUGUAAUUCUGAGGUAAAAUGUUGGACUAAAACGUGAGAAUGUACUUCUGAAGUAAAAGUAGUAACUACAAUGCCAGACGACUUCUGAGGUAAUAUUUCGAGCACUAAAACGUGAGAGAGAGUGAACUUCUGAAGUAAAAAUUUAGUACAAAAAAAAUGUGAGAAUUUACUUCUGAGGUAAACAUUUAGGACAAAAAAAACGUUAGGAGAAUGUACUUCUGAGGUAAAAUUUAAUACAAAAAACGUGAGAAUUUACUUCUGAGGUAAACAUUUAGGACAAAAAAACGUGAGGAGAAUGUACUUCUGAGGUAACAUUUAAUACAAAAAACGCGAGAAUUUACUUCUGAGGUAAACAUUUAGGACCAAAAAAAAACGUGAGCAUGUUCUUGAGGUAAAAUUUAGUACAAAAAAACUUGAAAAUGUACUUCUGAGGUAAACAUUUAAGACAAAAAAAACGUUAGGAGAAUGUACUUCUGAGGUAACAUUUAGUACAAAAAACGUGAGAAUUUACUUCUGAGGUAAACAUUUAGGACCAAAAAAAACGUGAGCAUGUUCUUGAGGUAAAAUUUAGUACAAAAAACGUAAAAAUGUACUUCUGAGGUAAACAUUUAAGACAAAAAAAACGUGAGGAGAAUGUACUUCUGAGGUAACAUUUAGUACAAAAAACGUGAGAAUUUAUUUCUGAGGUAAACAUUUAGGACCAAAAAAACGUUAGGAGAAUGUACUUCUGAGGUAACAUUUAAUACAAAAAACGUGAGAAUUUACUUUCAUUUAGGACCAAAAAAAAACGUGAGCAUGUUCUUGAGGUAAAAUUUAGUACAAAAAACGUGAGAAUUUACUUCUGAGGUAAACAUUUAGGACCAAAAAAACGUUAGAAUGUACUUCUGAGGUAACAUUUAAU